rnacentral:rRNA from 1 species
UACGUAGGGUGCGAGCGUUAAUCGGAAUUACUGGGCGUAAAGCGUGCGCAGGCGGUUCGUUAAGUUCGUUGUGAAAGCCCCGGGCUCAACCUGGGAACUGCAAUGGAAACUGGCGGGCUUGAGUGUGGCAGAGGGGGGUGGAAUUCCGCGUGUAGCAGUGAAAUGCGUAGAUAUUGGGAGGAACACCAGUGGCGAAGGCGGCUACCUGGACCGGUUCUGACGCUGAUGCGCGAAAGCGUGGGUAGCAAACAGG